GACGAACGCUGGCGGCGUGCUUAACACAUGCAAGUCGAACGAUGAAGCUGGAGCUUGCUCUAGCGGAUUAGUGGCGAACGGGUGAGUAACACGUGAGCAAUCUGCCCUUGACUCUGGGAUAACUGCGGGAAACUGUAGCUAAUACCGGAUACUUUCACCGGGGGGCAUCCUCUGGUGAUGAAAGAAUCUCGGUCAAGGAUGAGCUCGCGGCCUAUCAGCUUGUUGGUGAGGUAACGGCUCACCAAGGCGACGACGGGUAACCGGCCUGAGAGGGUGACCGGUCACACUGGGACUGAGACACGGCCCAGACUCAUACGGGAGGCAGCAGUGGGGAAUAUUGCACAAUGGGCGCAAGCCUGAUGCAGCAACGCCGCGUGCAAGAUGAAGGCGUUAUGCGUUGUAAACUGCUUUUAUACAGGAAGAAACGACUCUUGCGAGAGGCAUUGACGGUACUGUAUGAAUAAGCACCGGCUAACUCCGUGCCAGCCGCCGCAGUAA
rnacentral:rRNA from 1 species